GACGAGCGCUGGCGGCGCGCUUAACACAUGCAAGUCGAACGGAAAGGCCUGCUUUCCCUUGUGGAUUGCGGGUACUCGAGUGGCGAACGGGUGAGUAACACGUGAGUGAUCUGCCCCCAACUUGGGUAUAAGCCUGGGAAACUGGGUCUAAUUCCCGAUAGGACUGCAGGGUGGUGCCUGUGGUGGAAAACGAUUUUCUAGUGGUUGGGGAUGAGCUCGCGGCCUAUCAGCUUGUUGGUGGGGUAAUGGCCUACCAAGGCGGCGACGGGUAGCCGGCCUGAGAGGGUGGACGGCCACAUUGGGACUGAGAUACGGCCCAGACUCCUACGGGAGGCAGCAGUGGGGAAUAUUGCACAAUGGGCGGAAGCCUGAUGCAGCGACGCCGCGUGGGGGAUGACGGCCUUCGGGUUGUAAACUCCUUUCGACCGCGAGGAAGCCACCUGGUUGGAAGGGUGGUGACGGUAGUGGUAGAAGAAGCACCGGCUAACUACGUG
rnacentral:rRNA from 1 species